rnacentral:rRNA from 1 species
GGUUGAUCCUGCCAGUAGUCAUAUGCUUGUCUUAAAGAUUAAGCCAUGCAUGUCUAAGUGUAAAUGAACUAUACACAGUGAAACUGCGAAUGGCUCAAUAAAACAGUUAUAGUUUACUCGAUGAUGUCUUGUUACCUGGAUAACUGCAGUAAUUCUGGAGCUAAUACAUGCACAAAGCGGGGACCGGGGCAACCUGGGAGUCGCGUAUUUAUUAGAGCAAAGACCGUCUGCGGCCGGGGGGGCAACCUCCUGGACGCAUCUACGAACGGUGAACCAUGGUAACUUCACGGAUCGCAUGGCCCAGCGCCGGCGACGAAUCGUUCAAGUUUCUGCCCUAUCAACUCACGAUGGUAGUGUAUUGGACUACCAUGGUCUUAACGGGUGACGGAGAAUUAGGGUUCGAUUCCGGAGAGGGAGCCUGAGAGACGGCUUCCACUUCCAAGGAAGGCAGCAGGCGCGCAAAUUACCCAAUCCCGAUACGGGGAGGUAGUGACAAUAAAUAACAAUACGGGCCAUUUUCAAUGUCUCGUAAUUGGAAUGAGUACAAUCCAAACACCUUAACGAGGAACAAUUGGAGGGCAAGUCUGGUGCCAGCAGCCGCGGUAAUUCCAGCUCCAAUAGCGUAUGCUAAAGUUGUUGCGGUUAAAAAGCUCGUAGUCGGAUCUCGGGUGAGGUGGUGUUAGGAACGGUGGAAGGGAAACCGGAAAUCGCGAUUUCACCGCGCAGCAAUGUUUGGGGAAUGGUCCGCCGGGAUGGCGAGUACCAGCCCCACUCACCCCUAGCGGUGGCGGGAAGGGCGGUCGAAAGGCCUCACCCGGUUCGUCACUAAUUAAUAGCUUCCAGAAGGGCGACCCCCCUAAUCUUUAUUGAUGUGCGGGUUAGGCGCGCACCUCUGGAUCGUUUACUUUGAAGAAAUUAGAGUGUUUAAAGCAGGCGCACAUAGAGCAACGGGUCGUCGCGUGUCAAAGCGUGGCGACCCAGCCUUGAAUACAUCAGCAUGGGAUAAUAGAAUAGGAUCUUUUUCUUAUUCUGUCGGUUUCCGAGGAAAAGGUAAUGAUCGAGAGGGGUAAUUGGGGGCAUUCAUAUUUAGUAGUCAGAGGCGAAAUUCUUGGAUUUACGAAAGAUGAACUUGUGCGAAAGCAUUUGCCAAGGGUGCUUUCUUUGAUCAAGAACGAAAGUUAGGGGAUCGAAGACGAUCAGAUACCGUCGUAGUCUUAACCUUAAACUAUGCCGACCAGGGAUUGGAAGACGUUACUAAACACCCCUCACAAGGGGGUGAAAACGACUCCUCCAGCACCUUGCGAGAAAUCACAAGUCUUUGGGUUCCGGGGGGAGUAUGGUCGCAAGGCUGAAACUUAAAGGAAUUGACGGAAGGGCACCACCAGGAGUGGAGCCUGCGGCUUAAUUUGACCCAACACGGGGAAACUUACCAGGUCCAGACAUAGUUAGGAUUGACAGAUUGAGAGCUCUUUCUUGAUUCUAUGGGUGGUGGUGCAUGGCCGUUCUUAGUUGGUGGAGUGAUCUGUCUGGUUAAUUCCGAUAACGAACGAGACCUCAACCUGCUAAAUAGUUAUCGGGAUGGUUUCGCAUGGGUGAAGCGUUGGGGA